UGUAUGCUGUCUUUAUUAUGUGAUACUACAUGACUCUAAUAACAGCCUUCUUAUAUUUUUAUUCAGAUUGUAGAAUCUUCUUGGGGGCCAUGUUCAGUUAAAAAGCCAUGUGUAACAGUUGUUGACUUGGCCAAUUCUAGGGUGAAAUGUGUCCCCUCCUUACAAGGAGAGAGGACUGAGGGCACUCCCAGAAGUCAUUAUGACCAUAAACACACUUUGAUAAGUUGUUUUAAAAUCCCUGAAGUCUCAAGCCAAUGAAGACCACAGCUUCUUCCCUGACUGACAUGUAGAUGUGUUUCUUGCUUGUUGCCAGUUUUUCUACUGCCGUUCUUCUCCCAGCAUCCCAGAAUCUCUGGAUUGGAAGGUCUCCCAAAUGUACACUGAAACAAAAUCUCUGAAUCUGUAUAGUACAAGAAUUCAUUCAGCCUUCGCCUGAAGACACCCAAUGAAGAGGCACUCAUUCACUCCUUCUGGAAGCAUCCCCUUCUGCCUGUUAGGCAGUCAUUCUUUCCAAUUGUCUUUCUGUCCCCAUUUGAUCCUGGUUCUGCCCUUCCAGACCAAGAAGGGCAGAUUUAAUCCCUCUUCCACUGGAAGACAAUUUCUCAUCUCCAACCUCCCUGUCUUUGCAUCCCAACUUCUAGAAAUCACUAGUUGGUAACACAAAUGGUCAGAUUAUUUCAUAUUUUUACUGCAGAAAACAAUAUGAGAGUGGGAGCAAGGGAAUUCUCCUCAUUGCUUUUAUCAAUCUACAAUGGGAGAGGAAUUCAUCAAUGUUCUGUAGAGUUGUCACGCUCCUUGAGUUCUUUGGUAUUCUAUGAAAUUGUCAGUAACCUUCUGAGCCAGAGGGAAGUCUUAUGAUUGAGGAACCAGAGAAGUUUUUACUGUCUUUUCAAAUGGGAAAAGAAAUCAGAACUGACAAUCAGACCCAGAUGUUUCUUGAAGAGGUCACGAAAGAAACACAACAGAGAGAAUGUGGGUUUAGAUUAAUGGAACAGGAGGGUGAUCUUGGGAAGCAGGAGAACUUUACCUUAAAGAAGCAUCUCAUCUCAGGCAUGAGCCUCUCAGGGAAGGGGCAUAAGUUUAUGAGCUAUUUCUAUCAUGCCAGUACCAUAGGGAUUGUGGUUGCCAUGACCACCAAAUUGUUUCCUCCAGUUCUGACCACCAUGACUAAUCUAAACUCUUGCCAAACAACCAUUCAAAUAAGCAGCAGAUGUCAGGGUCCUGUAGGGAGCCAGUCAAUCACCAAUGGGUUUGAUUAACAAAUUGCAGCAGCUAAAUUGAGCUUUCUGGAAAGUUUCAUGCACCACUUUAAAAAUUCAUAUUUCUUCAUGGACAGCCACAAAUAAUAUGUCACUCAGCUCUUGCAAUAAAAAGGCCUGGGUAAAAUGAAGAGAAAAUAAA
rnacentral:lncRNA from 1 species